rnacentral:lncRNA from 1 species
CACACUGAUGUUCAAAACUGUCAAUUUAGGAUUGCGGUUGGUAAUCCUCCUCUAAUGCAUAUAUUAAGCACAUUGCGUGACUACUUACAUAAAAAUUAGAGUAUUUCCUCUUAAAAUUGAACCAAAAAAAAGAAAAAAUAACUCUUUAUCUUCUUGCGAUGUGAAUGAUCCUUAGCAACAGCUUGAGUGGAAGCUCGACAAAUGCAGGACUAUGUAUAACACAUAUCAAGUUUAGUGGAAGCUUGAUUGGUUCAGGCUUUGCUUUUAUUCUUCAAGUGUGAGGCUUUAAGAGCUAGGGGCCGCAAAACAAAAAACGUGAGUGGGCAAAAACAAAUGUUUUACAAAAUCAUUUCAUUUAUCAACAUAACUAACCCCUCGCUGUAAAACAUGUAUAAUUUUUCCCAGAAUCAAGAUAUAAGCAUAUAUAUAUAUAUAUAUAAUCAUAUCAAUUCAAUUAAUGCUACACAUAAUCAUAUUCAUAUGUAUGCUAUGCCACGAUAUAACAGAGUAAGCAAUUCAGGUAAGAAUAAUUUCAUAGAAAUAUAACGUGUUAGUCGGAAUCCCUGUGGUAGUCUGUACGGCUGAAUUCAUAGCUCAAAGUUACUCUAGCCGGAGUCACUAUCAUGACCUAUACGGCAACAUACUGCACAAGAGUCGGAACCAAACAAACAAGUCUAUACGACAAUAAUGGGUGUAAUACAAUCAUGCUCAAUUCUACUCUCACAUAAUAGCUAGGCGAUAAAUCGUUAGUUACCAACGAGUCCGAACCAUAAAUAAGGUCUGUACGACAAGACUGUGCACCUAAAUUGGAUACAAUAUGAGCAUAUGGUGCGGGAGGUGACAUAAUAAACAAGCCUCUGUCAUAACUCUGGCUAAAUCACAAUCACCCUAAGUGCAGUUUUAUGAGCUCAACAUUAAUCAAUCACAUAUUACCUCAUCGAUGAUUCACAUACCUGAGCUUACCUGAGCGUCCACAGCACCACAUUUAUAUAUAUAAAGCAUCACAUACCAAAUCAUGUAUGAAUUAUAAACUUAUAUGCAUGACAUUAAGGCAUACUAUCAUUUAAACACAUUUUUCUGGGAAAAUAUCAAGUAUAUAAUAUAUACUGAAAACCAAAAGCCAACUCACUGGUAUGUCGAAGGGUCGUAGCCCCCGAGUCGCCCUUGGAUACGCUCGUUCUCGGGAUAAGUCUCACCUAUAUGCAAAUUAACUAUAAAAACGUUAUUUUAAAGCACAUAGGCAAAACUAGCUAAUAACUUCUCAUACAUAGCUGAAAAUGGAUAUAUGAACAUACCACAGUGACCUACACAACCUCAGGAUCAUCUCCAUAUUUUUAGAUAAAAUUUUCAAGCUCCCACGCACUGGCAAGUGCACGGCAAAACGCGCUCUCCACGCUCGGCCAUGUGCCAGGCACAUGUGACGGAACAGGAAUGGCGUUAGGAAUAUUCCUUUUUAAAACCCAAUGGUAACCGUCCAACUAACUGACGGCGUUAGCAUAUUCUGUCAAAACUGACAGAAUAUUCCCCUGUCUUCUCCGGCGAGUCGUCGAUUGUCAGUGACUUCGCCGGUUUUUGGAAAAAUAUUAAAAUCGUCCUAACUUCUUCAUUUUUGCACCAUUUUUCAUGAAAUUGGUACCAAAAUGAAGCUAAUAACAUGUAGAAUCACGUUACACAAGUUUCAAGGCUUAAAUUCUACUAGAUUUUUCCUGAGAAAGGUCGAUAGCUCGGCUUACCUAGAAACACGUCGAUCUCAGUCAUCCGACGUCCAAAUCCUUCCAACGAAGUACCCCUAGACUCAUGAGGACCUCUUUAAGCUUCCUAUGUCCUUAGAAUUCCCUGAAACAUAAGGUUUUACGUGUGCAUGAACAGUGCACAAAAUCGGGGUUAGGAUUUCUCGGGUUCUCGAAGCAUUCACGUCCAAACAAGGGUACCAAUAUACUCAGGAGGUUACAAUGAGCAAAAACCUUAC